rnacentral:rRNA from 1 species
UACGUAGGGUCCGAGCGUUGUCCGGAAUUACUGGGCGUAAAGCGCGCGCAGGCGGCCCGCGAGGUGUCACGUGAAAGCCCCGGGCUCAACCCGGGAGGGUCGUGGCAAACCGGCGGCUUGAGGCCGGUAGAGGUGGGUGGAACUCCUGGUGGAGUGGUGAAAUGCGUAGAGAUCAGGAAGAACACCCGUGGGCGAAGCGGCCCACUGGGC